UCUCUCCUGGUCUCAGGGCAGAAAUUGUCUGAGGGCAGGUGAAUCUCUCCUGGUCUCAGGGCAGAAGUCAUAUUUUUUAUGUAUUAUUUAGUAUAUUAGUAGUUUGUAUAAUAUGCAGCGCUGCCUGGAAGACUUUAUUGAGGGCUCAAAUUUCCAUCAAGCAAAAAAGUCAGGGGAGAGAUAAAUGCAGCCAAGACUUGUAAAAUAGAAAAGCGAAGAUGAAAAGACAUGUUCAUUUUCUUCUUAUUAUUAUUAUUAUUAGACUAUGUUAGUUAAAUAUUCAAAAUAUUUAUCAGGACCGAUCAGUUUGAUGCUUAACCUGUGUUUCUCCAAAAAUCUAUAUGUUCAAGUAUAGUGUCUUUUCUAAUUUCAGAAUAUGGCGACACAUUGGUUGAAUGGUGUUAAAAAACGGUUGAAGAAGCCACAUGACUCCAGGGUCCACCAAGAUGUUGUUAUUAUUAGGGGGGAUGCCAAGGAGUUCAUGGAGGGUUACAUCAAAGAAGUGCAGGAGAAGGACCAUUGCUACUUCAGACCCCCAGUCUGCCGCCGGAAGGACUAUUAUUACUAUGGCUGUGACCGUGGGAAUCACGCUGCAGGCAAAAGUAAUGGAGAAGCCACACAAACUCGGGCCAAUUCUUGCAAGGCAUACAUCUCUUUCAAAGUCAUCACGGAUGCCGGAAUAUCAGGUGCCAUAAUCCAAAAGAUGCUACAGCACACUGGCCAUGACGAGGGUAAUUCUAAAGAGAAAAACCGCAUCCACCCAGACCUGCAUUCCCUCAUUGAAAUAUGGCUUCAACAGGGUUGUUCUACUUCUGAGAUCUUAAUAAAAAGCUAUGAUUGGGCUCAACAAAAUGGGCAUGUGGACAAAAAAGACCGCCGGUUUUACUUGACCCCUAAUGACAUUCGGCUUUUAAAGAAAAACCUCAGAGGUGUGGGUGACAGUGAUUCUGUCAGUGUGGACCAUUUGGUUUCCAUGGAACUCAGAGACAACAUCUGUUUUUAUCAGCCACUUCACAAUGAACAACCAUUCAUUUUAGUUGUACAAACACCAUUUCAAAAACAACUUUUGGAAGAGAACCCUCAUCCAAUGGUUUUCAUGGAUGCUUCAUACAAAGGCAUAACAGCCUACGG
rnacentral:lncRNA from 1 species